UCUAAAGCAGUUUGUAGUGCAGUUACUAUGCCUGAACCAGCGAAGUCUGCUCCCGCUCCGAAGAAGGGCUCUAAAAAGGCUGUAACAAAGGCUCAGAAAAAGGAUGGCAAGAAACGCAAGCGAAGCCGCAAGGAAAGUUAUUCUAUCUACGUCUACAAGGUGUUGAAGCAGGUUCACCCCGACACGGGCAUUUCUUCCAAGGCCAUGGGCAUCAUGAAUUCCUUCGUGAACGACAUUUUUGAGCGUAUUGCUGGCGAGGCAUCACGCCUUGCACAUUAUAACAAGCGCUCUACCAUCACUUCCAGGGAGAUUCAGACAGCGGUACGCCUGUUGCUUCCUGGGGAGCUGGCUAAGCAUGCUGUGUCUGAAGGCACCAAAGCUGUCACCAAGUAUACCAGCGCCAAGUAAAUAUUUCUGGCUGGGGCUGAGUUUGAACCUGCCACCACCGGCAUAUGUGGGACCGGUGCCCUUCUCCUUUGAGCCACAGGUGCCGCAAAGUUAUUUUUUUAAUAACAUAAAUUUUACUAAUUUUAUUGUCAAUUUUUGAUGAUGUAUGGAAAUCCAAUUAGAAAUAAUAACGUAUCAAUAUUUACAAACUGUCCAUUGAUUUGAAUGACUUAUUUCAUGCUUUUAAUUUUGGUGUAUCACUUUUUCUGACAUUAUCCCCAAAUGUUUAGAGUCCAUAUUGCAUAAAGGCAUUAUUUACAUUCUACACAUAAAAGUAGAGUAGAAUUUUUGAAUUUUAUUUAAGAUCUAUGGAUUCCUGCAGAACAUGCUUAAUAUAUGUUAGUAUUGUUUUUGCAAAUGUUUUUGUACUCACCGCAGAAAUUGCACUACGGACUUGACAUUAGGAAACCAGAUGAAUAUGUGUGUUUCCCACUCUUAACUUGCAUAUUACCAUAUCUACAAAACUUUGAAGUUAUACCUCAGCACUUGAUCUUCACACUGAAGUGAUAGAAGACACAACCUGAGCUAGUACUAAUGGAGAAAAAUAAUUUCUAGGCAUGUGAGUGGUUCCCACUCCAAUUAUUUUUAUUUAUGAAGUACAGUUGUGUUUUUAAUUUCUUAAUAACACAAGGAAAAGACUUAAGUUUGAAAUAUAGCCUUGCCACUUAACUGCGAAGCCUUGCCAAAUUGUCUUCUCUGGCUCUGUUAAAAAAUGGGGAUGUAAUAAUGCCUCUCAUGACUUAAUACCUAGUACUCACACCAAUAGUAACAGUAGUAUUAGAAGCAGUAAUAAUGUUGCCCCAUUCAGGAAUGUUCCUGAAUGAUAACAGGGAAGAGAGAAUUGCUCCCACUUGGGAGAAUUUGGAGAAUUUUAUCUUGUUUACUUUUUAUGGAAAGAGAAUGGUGUAAGAUAUUGAUCUGAACUAAUUCUUGUGUAAUGAGAAUGGUUUGUCUAUAUGGACAAGGAUUUUAAGUGGCCUAAAGUGAAGGUUUUGUUGACAAGUUUUGAGGAAGAGUGAUGUGACUAAAUUUCCCAGAAUCGUCCCAGAGUAUAACAAUAAUAUUGUCUCAUGUGAAUGUUAACCAAAAGUCUUAUUCUUCAAGGAGGUUAAUAAUAAUCAGGUAUACAACUUCACCCAUAUGGAUGUCAUACUCUUUCUUCCUAUUCAUGUCCUGUGCAAGCGAUUUGUAAACAAGGUGGCCAGGAUAGCAAUGGUGAAACUGAUAUUGGAGCACUAUAGUAUAAUGCUGACCCUGGAUACUGACACUGCUAAGUAUCCUGUAUGUCAGGGCAAGUAUUCUUACAUUUUUGCAAACAUGUUGUCACAAAUGAGGCGUGGAUUUGUCUUCACUGGGAUAGAGACUUAUUCUAGAUUUAGAUGUGCUUCACUAUCUUUAGCUUUAUGCUAUCUCUCUAGCAAGACCAUCUAUAAACUUAUUCAAUACUUUAUAACUCAUAUCUUGCUUUUUUUUUUUUUUUAACCCAUGUCUAUAUAGAAAGGUGAGGAAAAGCACAAAUGACCAUGGAAUUCAGUGGUCUUAAUGUGUACUACAUCCCUCAUAAGAAAUUUCUCAAUUUGGGGAAGCUUCAGUUAUAAUAGCAUUAGUGAUUCAGCAGUUAAUUGAAGUAGUGUUCAAUUUGGGAUGUUGUAUAUAUGUGUUGAAUAGUGGCUAAAAAUAGGCAUAAUUUCUCCUAUAGCCUGAAUGCAUUGGAUAAGAACUGAGAGGUAGAAAGGUAGUGGUACUUCUCAUAUUAUACUUAGUAACCAACCAUUUUACCUUUUAUCUUUGCAUUUCAGGGCUCUCUCUGCUGUGUUUUGUUUUAAGGAGGAAGGAAUACAUACUUCUACUAGUAGCCUCAGAGGGCUAUGCCGAGAACCUAGCGUUGGCGCAGAGAAAUUCUGGGCGACUGAAUUAAGAGACAGUCCAGAAGAGUGGCGGGCUUCUUCCAGCUGGUUAUUGACACUGUGGACCAGCUAUAGGGGCGGUCCCCUGCUUCCAUCCGGCUGGAGAGUUGACAAGCGCCAUCGCCAUCUUGUGGCCCUUUGGGAUAAUACAGCUAAAACUUUUUUAUGGUUUCCAUUAGGCUUUUCAUUGCUAGAGUUGAAUAAUGCACAAAGAAUACGGAAAUACACAGUCUCACUCCCAACAGCUAUUAACCACCCACUUCCUUCAUGUACUUGACAAAGAUUCUCUUCAGAGACUUCUGAACUAGGCCCCAACCUUGGCCUAAAAAGACCUGAAAAAAACACUCGCAGUUUCAAAUAGUUCAAGUCCAUAUCCUCAGGAUGAUCCUAGUGCCCUCCUGAGAAAAUUUAAUUGAAGCUGCCAAAAGAAUUUGCUGUUUGUUUCGAUCACAAUCUGAAGAUAGGGUUCCUGUUUCCAAGUCUCUGGUAAAAUAGGAGCCUAAAUUGGAUACCAAGGAGUGAGCAAACGCAGUUGAGUUUCACAUGGAUCAAUUCUCCCCACCCUUCCCAUUUUUUGGUAAUUUUUUACUUCCUGACUCUGUUUAAACACCUGCUGGAACGUUCCCUCUACCUACUCUUUCAUUCUCCUUUCAGAAUGCCCAGUCAUCUCUGCACAAAUCCGGGUGAAGCUUAGCUCCUUUCCCUACUUACAGUUGUUACUGAAUAAAACCUGUUUCCACCACUUUAACCAACCAAUGUCUGACUGUAAUUAUCUUUGACAUACUACUACAAUGAACUACAUUUAUUUCUUUCUUGUGUACCUGUCUGGAAUCUCUAUAUGAAAACACAUACACAAAUGUGGGUUCUCAUAUUGUCUCCUGUAGUUAAAAUGGAAGGGUCACAUGUUCCUCACACGGUUCUGUCCUUUGCUUUUCCUGUUAUCUUUCUUGGAGUCCUUUUCUAUUAGUAAGUAGAGUGGCUGAAACUUCUCAGCAGGCUUACCUGUGCAAGUGACAGGAAGAGAGAACCCCCAGUGCUACAAUGGAUGCGUUGUCCCUCAUCAGGCUGAUCUUUGAGCGGAAGGGAAAGUGCGGAUUACUCUGUGGAGCUGUCCAGGAACUGAGCCCUGUCAGGACGUCUGUGGGGUGAACAAAUUGCUAUUGCUUUCCUGAGGUGGGACAUUUACUCUUUGUAAGGAAGGACAUUGAAGUCCUACAACUGGGAACUCAUCUUGUCAGAGAGGACUUCUUUAACUGCCAUCUUGUAGUUAUGAGGUAUGACAAUUACGUUCUCAAACUCAUCCUAGAAAAAGUGCUACAUAUCUCAUUGCUGAAUAUCACGACAGCCACCUUUGAAGUACUCCCCUUGGGAAGCUAUGCAUCAAUGCCAGCAUCUAGUCCACCCUUCAAAGCAAUUUUGGAACUAUUUUUUUUUUGAGGUAGAGUCUCACUGUGUCUCCCUUGGUAGAGUGCUGUGGCGUCAUGGCUCAGAGCAACCUCAAACUCUUGGGCUUAAGCGAUUCUCUUGCCUCAGC